CCUCCAGCCACACUCUCCGUCCACUGUGCACCUCCACGCACUUAGCUGUCAGUUCUUUCAAACUAGUAUAAGUAAAAAUGAUAAUUUUGCUUCAGCUGGCUUUACUUACUGCAGGCCUUGGAGGUGUGCAGUCAGAGGUGCAACUGGUCGAGUCUGGAGGGGAUGUAAAACGGCCGGGAGAGUCCCUGCUCCUCUCCUGUCGAGCCUCCGGCUUCACCUUCAGCAGCUACUACAUGGCCUGGGUGCGCCAGGCUCCAGGGAAGGGCCUGGAGUGGGUUGCCUAUAUAACCGACAGUGGGGGCAGCACAUACUAUGCGGACAAGGUGAAGGGGCGCUUCACCAUCUCCAGAGACAACCCCUCCAACAUGCUGUUCCUGCAAAUGAGCAACCUGAAUGCUGAAGACAUGGCCGUGUAUUACUGUGCAAGAGACACAGUGGGAGGAAAGGAAUUUGGGAUGUACCAGAUAUCACCAUAUCCCUCGGAUCCACUUAAAGUCCUUCUCAGAAAUUCAGGGGUCCCUCCACGUUUUGUGUCCAUCCUCCGGCUUCACCUUGAGCAGCUUUGGCAUCUGCUGGUGAGAAGCCCCUGGGACAGGCCUGGAAUGGAGUGUAGACACAGGGCAGAGGAAGCAGAGAAUGAAAUGGACUUCCCGAAGGAGCUUUUCACCAGCCCCAGAAACAAUGGCUCCAACAUGCUGCUUCUGAAACUCAGCAGCCUCCAAGUUGAGGAGCCGACUGUGGAUUCCUGUGGAGGAGAAACUCAGGGAGAGGAGGUGAAUCAGAAGCCUGGAAACUGA